rnacentral:rRNA from 1 species
GGCUCAGAACGAACGCUGGCGGCAGGCCUCAAACAUGCAAGUCUAGCGGGCGUAGCAAUACGUCAGCGGCGGACGGGUGCGUAACACGUGGGAACGUACCCUUUGGUUCGGAACAACUGAGGGAAACUUCAGCUAAUACCGGAUGUGCCCGAAAGGGGAAAGAUUUAUCGCCAAAGGAUCGGCCCGCGUUCGAUUAGCUUGUUGGUGAGGUAAUGGCUCACCAAGGCGACGAUCGAUAGCUGGUCUGAGAGGACGAUCAGCCACACUGGGACUGAGACACGGCCCAGACUCCUACGGGAGGCAGCAGUUGGGAAUCUUGGACAAUGGAGGAAACUCUGAUCCAGCCAUGCCGCGUGAGUGAUGAAGGCCUUCGGGUUGUAAAACUCUUUCGACGGGGACGAUAAUGACGGUACCCGUAGAAGAAGCUCCGGCUAACUUCGUGC